rnacentral:rRNA from 1 species
GACGAACGCUGGCGGCGUGCUUAACACAUGCAAGUCGAACGGAAAGGCCCUGCUUGCAGGGUCCUCGAGUGGCGAACGGGUGAGUAACACGUGGGUGAUCUGCCCUGCACUUCGGGAUAAGCCUGGGAAACUGGGUCUAAUACCGGAUAGGAGCCAUUUUUAGUGUGAUGGUUGGAAAGUUUUUUCGGUGUAGGAUGAGCUCGCGGGCUAUCAGCUUGUUGGUGGGGUAAUGGCCUACCAAGGCGGCGACGGGUAGCCGGCCUGAGAGGGUGGACGGCCACAUUGGGACUGAGAUACGGCCCAGACUCCUACGGGAGGCAGCAGUGGGGAAUAUUGCACAAUGGGCGCAAGCCUGAUGCAGCGACGCCGCGUGGGGGAUGACGGCCUUCGGGUUGUAAAAUCCUUUCGCUAGGGACGAAGCUUUUUGUGACGGUACCUAGAUAAGAAGCACCGGCUAACUACGUG